rfam:Lactobacillus fructivorans strain DmCS_002 contig9, whole genome shotgun sequence.
UUAGUUGAAUAUGAUUCGCCUAAGACUCAGGUGGUUUUAACCUUAAUUAUGCCUGCCGAGGAGUAAAACACUCUUUCUCUAUGUUUUGGCGAACAUAGGGAUUUUUUAUUAAGUCC